AUUGAACGCUGGCGGCAGGCCUAACACAUGCAAGUCGAGCGAGCGGCGGACGGGCGAGUAAUGUAUGGGGACUGCCCGAUAUAGGGGGAUAACUACUGGAAACGGUGGCUAAUACCGCAUACUAUCGGAUAACCCAGAUGGGAUUAGCUAGUGGGGGGGGUAAAGGCUCACCUAGGCGACGAUGUCUAGCUGGUCUGAGAGGAAGAUCAGCCACACUGGGACUGAGACACGGCCCAGACUCCUACGGAGGCAGCAGUGGGGAAUAUUGCACAAUGGGCGCAAGCCUGAUGCAGCAAUGCCGCGUGAAUGAAGAAGGUCUUAGGGUUGUAAAGUACUUUCAGUGGGGAGGCGUUACCCGCAGAAGAAGCCCCGGCUAACUACGUGCCAGCAGCCGCGGUAAUAC
rnacentral:rRNA from 1 species